AAAAAAGAUAAACACUAAUUUUCAUGCUCAACGUUUAACCAGUCUGUCUUUUAAAUUAUGAAAAAAAAUAAAAAGACAAGUCACGCAUAAAAUAUUAAUAAUAUUUUAUUAUCUAACAACAAUGAAAAUACGAAUUAUAAAAUAAUUUCAUAUAAGACGGACCGUCAAAGUUGGACACAGAAAUCCAGGGUUUGUCUUUUU
rfam:Oryza nivara chromosome 3, whole genome shotgun sequence.